rnacentral:rRNA from 1 species
ACUUACGGCCAUACCAUCCUGAAUACGCCCGAUCUCUUCUGAUCUCGGAAGCUAAGCAGGGUUGGGCCUGGUUAGUACUUGGAUGGGAGACCUCCUGGGAAUACCAGGAGCUGUAACUG